rnacentral:rRNA from 9 species
UCCAAGGAUGGCAGCAGGCGCGAAAAUUACCCACUCCCGGCACGGGGAGGUAGUGACGAAAAAUACGGAUACGGGACUCAAACGAGGCUCCGUAAUUCGAAUGAGUACAAUUUAAAUCCUUUAACGAGGACCAAUUGGAGGGCAAGUCUGGUGCCAGCAGCCGCGGUAACUCCAGCUCCAAAAGCGUAUAUUAAAGUUGCUGCAGUUAAAAAGCUCGUAGUUGGAUCUGGGUUGUGCGUUCACGCGCCUUUACUUGUUUAUCAGCCUUGGUAAAUGCCCUGGCUGGUGUUCAAUUUGGUGUAGUGGGCGUGCUGCCUUUCAGCCGUGUCUGUGUAAACG